ensembl:lncRNA novel transcript
ACUGCGAGGCAGGCAGUGAUGCUGCGGCCGCUUCGCACUGUGGCUCCUGCCGACCGCCAGGCGCUGUUACAGUGGAUGCGAACUAACCGUAAGUCAUUAUAUCGUACUGCAGAAACCAGCUCAACUAUGCAAAACUACCACCAGGACUGGCCGACACCAGGAGGGAUUCCAGAGACCACACUGCAGGGAGCAUACAGAAAGAAAAUUAAGAGAUCAGAUGCAGCAGCAGCCGGAACCCACAGUUCACCUUGGUGCAUUCCUUUAUGAUGAAGACUUAUUGAUUCAUUAUAUGAGAAAGGAAAAAUGAGCAGAAACUACUGUAUGAUGUGCAGCUCACACCAGACAGCAACUUUAGUCUCACUCUGUCACCUGGCUGGAGUUUAGUGACACGAUCUUAGCUCCCUGCAACCUCUGCCUCCUGAGUUCAAGUGAUUCUCCUACCUCAGCCUCCUGAGUAGCUGGAAUUACAGAGUAAUUUAUCCCUACUUACAGAGAGAUUGCCCUACGUGUAACAGCUGCAUACAAAAAAGUUAUAAAAUUAUCAUUGGUUUAACAAGGAUAAGUGAAAAACAUUAAAAUUCUCCAACUGAACAAGGUGUGUCUGUUUCAUUGAUUGGCUGACUGUCAAAUCGGAAUCUGAUCUGCCCCAUUGACAAUGCCUUGGGCUUUUCCUCGGCCAUGGCAAAUGCCAGAGUCUUCUCAGCUGCCGCUUCACAAAAGAGGUACCAGCUUCUCACUGAACGAACACAGUGCAGCACCAGGAGUGACAGAAGAAGGAGGCGGCAGCGGUGGUUGAGGGACAGGGUGCGUGCACGUCCAAGUACAGUUCUUAAAAUGUUGAGGGCAUACAACAUAUGCUCAAUAAAUACCUGAUUUUUAAAAAAGACAAUGACUAUGGAAAACUCUUGAUCAUUAACCCGAAGGGAGAGUCUAGUUUCCAGGAAGCAUUUGUUUGUAUACACUAUUUAACCCAAGGAUACACUCUUUUCUCCGUGGCAGCGUGACUCAUCUUAGUCUCCAAUUUUUGACCUGGUCCACUGGAGGGCAGUGGCGUGAUUACAGCUCACUGCAUCCUCGACCUCCCAAGCUCAAGCCAUCCUCCCACCUCAGCCCCUCAAGUAGCUGGGACAACAGGCACCAGCAUGCCCAGCUAAUUUUUGUAUAUUUUGUAGAGAAGGGGUCUCACCAUGUUGCCCAGGCUAAUCUCGAACUACUGAGCUCAAGCAAUCUGACCACCUUGGCCUCCCAAAGUGCUAGGAUUAUAGGAGUGAGCCACCACGCCCAGCCUCCAUUAGCAUUUUAACCUACUUAAGUUUCUGCCAUCAGCACCACAAACAAAACCAGAAUAUUCUUUGACCUUUUAUCUCUCUCAGCUACUGCCCUGUUCUUCUCACCUAACCUUCUUGAAAGAAUUGUAUACACUCACUAUUCUUCACUUCCCACUCAUUCUUUGGUCCACUGCCAGCUGCCUUUGACCACUAACAUUCCUCUACAAGGCCACUAACAACACCCGAGUCUCAGAAAUCCAAUAAACACUUUUAAAAAAAUUGAGAUAUGAUUCAAAUUUCAUAAAAUCUCAUAAAAUCCUAUAAGACUCACCUUUUAAAGUGUAUAAUGUAUCUUUUAAAGUGUACAAUGCAGUGUUUUUUAGUAUAUUCAUAAAUUCAUUCAACUAUUACCAUUUAAUUUCAGAACAUUCUCAUCACUCCUGUAUCCAUUAGCAGUCACUACCAAUUCCCCCUCCCUACAGCCCUUGACAACUGCUAAUCUAUUUUCCACCUCUACAGAGUUUCCUAUUCUGGACAUUUAAUAUAAACUGAAUCAUAC